rnacentral:tmRNA from 1 species
GGGGGCGCACUGGUUUCGACCAUGUGAACACGCCAGAGGCGGCAUGCCGAGGAAGAUGCGUUGGCCUCGUUAAUCAUUCGCAUCAAAACAAAACAGCUAAUCAAGAACUAGCUCUCGCGGCCUAAGGCCCCGACGUUCACCACUGGACACCUGCUACGGUGGAGGAACGCAACAGCAGGCAUGGUCGGCGACGGAGACCGCGCGUUGCCGGCCGAGAUCUUAUCAUGCGGACUAGGCAGUGCGACUUGAGUCCGGACAGCAUCGCAUAGCAGAAAACAUUAUCCGGAAUAAGCAUGUAGUCGCGGCUGGUAGGUUGACUUGGGACGCGGGUUCAAUUCCCGCCGCCUCCACCA